AUUGAACGCUGGCGGCAGGCCUAACACAUGCAAGUCGAGCGGAUGAAGGGAGCUUGCUCCUGGAUUCAGCGGCGGACGGGUGAGUAAUGCCUAGGAAUCUGCCUGGUAGUGGGGGAUAACGUCCGGAAACGGGCGCUAAUACCGCAUACGUCCUGAGGGAGAAAGUGGGGGAUCUUCGGACCUCACGCUAUCAGAUGAGCCUAGGUCGGAUUAGCUAGUUGGUGGGGUAAAGGCCUACCAAGGCGACGAUCCGUAACUCGUCUGAGAGGAUGAUCAGUCACACUGGAACUGAGACACGGUCCAGACUCCUACGGGAGGCAGCAGUGGGGAAUAUUGAACAAUGGGCGAAAGCCUGAUCCAGCCAUGCCGCGUGUGUGAAGAAGGUCUUCGGAUUGUAAAGCACUUUAAGUUGGGAGGAAGGGCAGUAAGUUAAUACCUUGCUGUUUUGACGUUACCAACAGAAUAAGCACCGGCUAACUUCGUG
rnacentral:rRNA from 1 species